rnacentral:rRNA from 1 species
AUUGAACGCUGGCGGCAUGCCUUACACAUGCAAGUCGAACGGCAGCACGGGAGCAAUCCUGGUGGCGAGUGGCGAACGGGUGAGUAAUGUAUCGGAACGUGCCCAGUCGUGGGGGAUAACGCAGCGAAAGCUGUGCUAAUACCGAGUACGAACUAUGGAUGAACGGGGGGGAUCGCAAGACCUCGCGCGAUAUGAACGGCCGAUUUCAGAUUAGGUAGUUGGGGGGGUAAAGGCCCACCAAGCCGACGAUCUGUAGCUGGUCUGAGAGGACGACCAGCCACACUGGAACUGAGACACGGUGCAGACUCCUACGGGAGGCAGCAGUGGGGAAUUUUGGACAAUGGGCGCAAGCCUGAUCCAGCAAUGCCGCGUGCAGGAUGAAGGCCUUCGGGUUGUAAACUGCUUUUGUACGGAACGAAACGGUUCUCUCUAAUACAGGGGGCUAAUGACGGUACCGUAAGAAUAAGCACCGGCUAACUACGUGCCAGCAGCCGCGGUAA